AUAUGGGCCUGCCCCUGCUGGUGAGGUGGCCACAACGGUGUGUGGGAAUGGGAUGCUCUGUGACCCAGGUGGUGUGGGCUGAGUCCCGGGAGCCAAAGGGCAGAGGCAGGAUCAGCCACGGGAUUCCAGCCUUGGUCUUCCGGGGUAAGCUCCACAAAGGCGGGAAAGUCUGUCCCUGUCUAGGACAGUGGCUGGCACACGAGGGCCGUCGGUAAACUCUUGGAUGAACCAGGCUCAGAGACACACAGUGCUCAAGGUCACACAGCGAGUCAGUGAGGGAGGGGAUGUGAAACCAGGGCCAAGGCUGCAGCGGACAGCAAAUCCAAAGAAGUGUUCCACUCAAUUCUGGGAACUCCCAACCCCAGGCUCUGGGGAAGGAGCAGACACACACCAAUGUGCGAAUGCAGCUGCAACACUCGCUGGAAGGAGAGGUGACACUGUCUGGGGCGUCUGGGAAGGCUGGUCAGAAGAGGUGACGCCUUGGCAGGGCUUGGAGAGGGAGGUUCCAGCAGGGUCGGCCUCACACACAUGAAGGGUCUUGGAUGUCGACACUGGACAUCCUUCCCCAGGGAGGUAGUUCAUUCAGUCAUGGAACAUUUCAAGGUGGGAAGAAGGUGUUCAUCACAUGGCUAUGAUCAUGUACCCAUUGCAGACCACCCUGUCCUGGGGGCAUGAGGAGUUCAUCUCCUAAAUCAGUGGUUCUCAACAGGGACAGUCCUCCCUCCCCAGGGGACAUUUGGCAAUGACUGGAGGAGUUGCUACUGGCAUCUCCUGGGUGGAGGCCAGGCAGGGCUGCUGCUGAACAUCCCUGUCUAGUGCACAGGACAGCCUCCACCACAAAGAAUCAUCCAGCCCCAAAUGUCAACAGCACCGAGGUUGAGAACUCUGUUCUAAGCCCUGAAAUUAUCAUUUGACAAGCGCAAUUAUAAUGCAAUGUCUUUUUGAUGCACCAAAGGCAUUAAUGUCUUCAAUGUGAAUAUUUAAAACACACAGGUGACCUGUUUGGUGAUUUAUUUCUUAAUAAAGCAGGAGCCUUGUAACAUGGGAGUGGUUCCAUGCAAAGGGAACAGCAUGCACCAGGCUCAGUGGCUCAGUGGAAAGAGAGCAGGCAUCUGUAGUUGACUACACCUGGGACCGAAGGGAUGGUGGGAAUAGAGCCCAGAGAGGGGCAGGGGCUGCACAAGGCAGGGCUCAGACCCCAGACCACAGAGCAUGGAUUGUGUCCUGGGAGGGGGAGACCUUGAGAAGAUUUAAACAAGGGGAGAAUGGGAUCUAUAGCAUACUCUAGAAAGAUCCCUCAGCAGCAAUGAGAUUCAGUUUUAUACCCACAAAAUUGGUAAAAAUGUCAGUUUGACACUGCCAAGUGUUGGCAAGGAAAUGGAGCAACUGAAAUUCCCACACCCUGCUGGUGGGAACAUACAUUGGAACAGCCAAUUUGGAAAAUCCUUCUAAGGCUUAUGCCCCGAGGGAAACCCUCACACGUGGGAAUAGGGACAAGAACACUCAUUGCUGCACUGUUUAUGGUAGCAACAGACAGGAGUGACCGAAAUGUCCAUCUUAAGGAGAAUGAGCAAAUACCUUGUGUUACAGCUGCACAGGGGACUAUGACACUGCAGUGAGAACGAAGAAACCGACUCCAUACGUGAGCAUGGAGGAGCAGCCCCAGCAUGGCAGUGAGCAGCACAAACCAGUCAUUGAAAGCAUCAUUGUGACACCAUUUAUUGAAAACGUACACACAUGCAGAAUAAUGCGUUAAGGAUUUAUACAUAUAGAGUAAAAGUAUAACAACAUGCAUGGG
ensembl:lncRNA DNAJB8-AS1 DNAJB8 antisense RNA 1